AGAGUUUGAUCCUGGCUCAGGACGAACGCUGGCGGCGUGCCUAAUACAUGCAAGUAGAACGCUGAAGAGAGGAGCUUGCUCUUCUUGGAUGAGUUGCGAACGGGUGAGUAACGCGUAGGUAACCUGCCUUGUAGCGGGGGAUAACUAUUGGAAACGAUAGCUAAUACCGCAUAACAAUGGAUGACACAUGUCAUUUAUUUGAAAGGGGCAAUUGCUCCACUACAAGAUGGACCUGCGUUGUAUUAGCUAGUAGGUGAGGUAACGGCUCACCUAGGCGACGAUACAUAGCCGACCUGAGAGGGUGAUCGGCCACACUGGGACUGAGACACGGCCCAGACUCCUACGGGAGGCAGCAGUAGGGAAUCUUCGGCAAUGGGGGCAACCCUGACCGAGCAACGCCGCGUGAGUGAAGAAGGUUUUCGGAUCGUAAAGCUCUGUUGUAAGUCAAGAACGAGUGUGAGAGUGGAAAGUUCACACUGUGACGGUAGCUUACCAGAAAGGGACGGCUAACUACGUGCCAGCAGCCGCGGUAAUACGUAGGUCCCGAGCGUUGUCCGGAUUUAUUGGGCGUAAAGCGAGCGCAGGCGGUUUGAUAAGUCUGAAGUUAAAGGCUGUGGCUCAACCAUAGUUCGCUUUGGAAACUGUCAAACUUGAGUGCAGAAGGGGAGAGUGGAAUUCCAUGUGUAGCGGUGAAAUGCGUAGAUAUAUGGAGGAACACCGGUGGCGAAAGCGGCUCUCUGGUCUGUAACUGACGCUGAGGCUCGAAAGCGUGGGGAGCAAACAGGAUUAGAUACCCUGGUAGUCCACGCCGUAAAC
rnacentral:rRNA from 1 species